rnacentral:rRNA from 1 species
AUUGAACGCUGGCGGCAUGCCUAAUACAUGCAAGUCGAGCGCAGGAAACUGACGGAACUCUUCGGAGGGAAGGCAGUGGAAUGAGCGGCGGACGGGUGAGUAACACGUAAGGAACCUGCCUCAAGGAUUGGGAUAACUCCGAGAAAUCGGAGCUAAUACCGGAUAGUUCAACGGACCGCAUGGUCCGCUGAUGAAAGGCGCUCCGGCGUCACCUUGAGAUGGCCUUGCGGUGCAUUAGCUAGUUGGUGGGGUAACGGCCCACCAAGGCGACGAUGCAUAGCCGACCUGAGAGGGUGAUCGGCCACACUGGGACUGAGACACGGCCCAGACUCCUACGGGAGGCAGCAGUAGGGAAUCUUCCACAAUGGACGAAAGUCUGAUGGAGCAACGCCGCGUGAGUGAUGAAGGCUUUCGGAUCGUAAAACUCUGUUGUAAGGGAAGAACACGUACGAGAGGGAAUGCUCGUACCUCGACGGUACCUUACGAGAAAGCCACGGCUAACUACGUGCCAGCAGCCGCCGUAA